rnacentral:rRNA from 1 species
UACAGAGGUCUCAAGCGUUGUUCGGAUUCAUUGGGCGUAAAGGGUGCGUAGGUGGCGGGGUUAGUCAGGUGUGAAAUCUCGAGGCUCAACCUUGAAACUGCACUUGAUACUGCCUUGCUUGAGUACUGGAGAGGAGAUUGGAAUUUACGGUGUAGCAGUGAAAUGCGUAGAUAUCGGAAGGAACACCAGUGGCGAAAGCGGCUUCCUGGUCCAGCACCGACGUUCAGGCACGAAAGCGUGGGGAGCAAACAGG